UACGGAGGGGGCCAGCGUUGUUCGGAAUCAUUGGGCGUAAAGGGCGCGUAGGCGGCCGACCAAGUCGGAGGUGAAAUCCCCGGGCUCAACCCGGGAACUGCGUCCGAUACUGGUGGGCUUGAAUCCGGGAGAGGGAUGCGGAAUUCCAGGUGUAGCGGUGAAAUGCGUAGAUAUCUGGAGGAACACCGGUGGCGAAGGCGGCAUCCUGGACCGGUAUUGACGCUGAGGCGCGAAAGCCAGGGGAGCAAAGCGGG
rnacentral:rRNA from 1 species